UACGAAGGGGGCUAGCGUUGUUCGGAAUUACUGGGCGUAAAGCGCACGUAGGCGGAUAUUUAAGUCAGGGGUGAAAUCCCAGAGCUCAACUCUGGAACUGCCUUUGAUACUGGGUAUCUUGAGUAUGGAAGAGGUAAGUGGAAUUGCGAGUGUAGAGGUGAAAUUCGUAGAUAUUCGCAGGAACACCAGUGGCGAAGGCGGUUUACUGGUCCAUUACUGACGCUGAGGUGCGAAAGCGUGGGGAGCAAACAGG
rnacentral:rRNA from 1 species